rnacentral:lncRNA from 1 species
UGGGAUUGGACCUCCAUUUGGUAAGCCCGCAAAAUUGCGGGCCCCACGGAACGGAUCGAAAGCGGGAUGGGCUACAUGUUAACCUGCGGGAUUUUGAAGACCCGCAACCCUAAGUCCCCAUUUCUGCUUUCAUCUAAGAGAGAGAGAGAGAGAGGCGAUUCGACGUUAUGUAGCUCCAGUGACAGUAGUUUCAGGGUCGAUGAUGUUUCUGGUCUCCCAAGCGCCUUCGAUCUGUACCGGUGGAGCUUCUUUAAGUCAUCAAAAGAAAUUUGAAAACUCACUUUCCACGGAAGAAGAAGAUCUAGUUCCCGCAAUGAGUUCUUCAUAGUUUUGAUUAUAUGUAUUUGUUCACAUUAUCAUAUAUUUUGGAGUUUUAGGUUUCAAUAUAUCUUUAACUGACUUCUAUUAUUCUUAUUCGCAGAAGAUGAAGUUGAUGGUGAAGAAGAGAAAUCUUCAUUUUUUUGUCGCUCGUUGGUGAUAAAGAUGAGGAACAAGAAGUCUGAUUGGUGUUUUCUUUUUAUUUCUUUUUGGGAUUAGCAUCUUUGAUAUGAUGUUGUUUUUAUUUAAUUUUGGAUUCAGAAAACUAAAGCAUUUGUUAUGAACUUAUGAGUUACAAUAUUUGGAUUUAGCAACUAAAGUAUUAUUUAUUUUUAAAAUGUUUGGAGUCUAACAAAAGUAAAUAAACCUUAUCCAGUUUAAUCCUUGACUAAAUUCACUUACUAAUGCGUCAUGAAACUGAUAAAGCGUCAUCAAUCAUGUAUUGAAGCGUUCAGGAGCCAUAUGUUUGUUUGUAAUUCUAUGUCUCGCGGGCCGAUCUGCAAAGGCCUACGUGUUUUGCGGUACGAGUUUGGUCAGCCAUUUUGAAGACCGCAGCCCGCACCGGCCUGACCCGCCGUGACCCGCUCAAAGACAAGCCCGCUGCAGUACGGGACAGGAUGAGACUGAUCAACCUGUUUGACAUUCCUACAUACCACAACAAUGCAGCAUGUCAUAACAAUUUAAAAUCAAAAACAAAGAAAAAACUCAAGAUUGAUGACAUUAAAGGAACUCAAAUCAAAUCAGAAAUUGCGACGUCACCUUGUUGUCCUCUACGGUGUCAUUCUCUCUUCCAAACUUAAUUCCGAAAGCCCAGAAUCCUUGCUCCUUCCUCAACGCUUGAGACCUCAUAAGUUCUCUUCUUCACAAAAAUCGUUUGCG